rnacentral:rRNA from 1 species
AGAGUUUGAUCCUGGCUCAGAUUGAACGCUGGCGGCAUGCCUUACACAUGCAAGUCGAACGGCAGCACGGACUUCGGUCGUGGUGGCGAGUGGCGAACGGGUGAGUAACACGUGAGGAACUUGUCCCGGUCUCUGGGAUAACAGUUGGAAACGACUGCUAAUACCGGAUGACGUCGGAGCAUCGCAUGGUGCGCUGACGAAAGGGUUACUGGGUCGGGAGAGCCUCGCGGCCUAUCAGCUUGUUGGUGGGGUAACGGCCUACCAAGGCAUCGACGGGUAGCUGGUCUGAGAGGAUGAUCAGCCACACUGAGACUGAGACACGGCCCAGACUCCUACGGGAGGCAGCAGUGGGGAAUCUUGCGCAAUGGGCGAAAGCCUGACGCAGCAACGCCGCGUGCGGGAAGAAGGCUCUCGGGUUGUAAACCGCUUUCAGCAGGAACGAAAAUGACGGUACUUGCAGAAGAAGGUGCGGCCAACUACGUG